UACGAAGGGUGCAAACGUUGCUCGGAAUUAUUGGGCGUAAAGCGCACGUAGGCGGCUUUGCAAGUCGGAUGUGAAAUCUCCCGGCUUAACUGGGAAACUGCAUCGGAAACUGAUCGGCUUGAAGGUGGGAGAGGGUAGUGGAAUUCCCGGUGUAGUGGUGAAAUGCGUAGAGAUCGGGAGGAACACCCGCGGCGAAGGCGGCCACCUGGACCAGACCUGACGCUGAGGCGCGAAGGCCGGGGGAGCGAACGGG
rnacentral:rRNA from 1 species